rnacentral:rRNA from 1 species
UACGUAGGGUGCAAGCGUUGUCCGGAAUUAUUGGGCGUAAAGAGCUCGUAGGCGGUCUGUCGCGUCGGAUGUGAAAACUCGGGGCUCAACCCCGGGCCUGCAUUCGAUACGGGCAGACUAGAGUACGGCAGGGGAGACUGGAAUUCCUGGUAUAGCGGUGAAAUGCGCAGAUAUCAGGAGGAACACCGAUGGCGAAGGCAGGUCUCUGGGCCACUACUGACGCUGAGAAGCGAAAGCAUGGGGAGCGAACAGG